GAUGAACGCUGGCGGCGUGCCUAAUACAUGCAAGUCGAGCGAACGGACGAGAAGCUUGCUUCUCUGAUGUUAGCGGCGGACGGGUGAGUAACACGUGGAUAACCUACCUAUAAGACUGGGAUAGCUUCGGGAAACCGGAGCUAAUACCGGAUGAUAUUUUGAACCGCAUGGUUCAAAAGUGAAAGACGGUCUUGCUGUCACUUAUAGAUGGAUCCGCGCUGCAUUAGCUAGUUGGUAAGGUAACGGCUUACCAAGGCAACGAUGCAUAGCCGACCUGAGAGGGUGAUCGGCCACACUGGAACUGAGACACGGUCCAGACUCCUACGGGAGGCAGCAGUAGGGAAGCUUCCGCAAUGGGCGAAAGCCUGACGGAGCAACGCCGCGUGAGUGAUGAAGGUCUUCGGAUCGUAAAACGCUGUUAUUAGGGAAGAACAUAUGUGUAAGUAACUGUGCACAUCUUGACGGUACCUAAUCAGAAAGCCACGGCUAACUACGU
rnacentral:rRNA from 1 species